rnacentral:rRNA from 1 species
UGCGUAGGCGGAAUAUUAAGUCAGUGGUGAAAUCCUGCGGCUCAACCGUAGAACUGCCAUUGAUACUGAUAUUCUUGAAUGUAGUUGAGGUAGGCGGAAUGUGUAAUGUAGCGGUGAAAUGCUUAGAUAUUACACAGAACACCGAUUGCGAAGGCAGCUUACUAAACUAUGAUUGACGCUGAUGCACGAAAGCGGGGGGAGCGAACAGGAUUAGAUACCCUGGUAGUCC